rnacentral:rRNA from 1 species
UGGCUUUUAAAUGGAGUCAGGUAUGAAUGGGAAAACCGGGUUUAGCUGUCUCCUGCUUACUAUCUUGAAUUUACUGUUCAAAUGAAAAAGUUUGAUUUUAAUAAAAAGACGAGAAGACCCUUAGAAUUUUUUUUAAAAAGGAUUUUGUUCUUAAUGAUUUUGUUGGGGUGACAGAGAAAUAUUUAGAACUUUCUUUAAUUUUACAAGCCGAAUUUUUUAAGCAAGAAUAAAUUACCUGAGGGAUAACAGCAUUAUUCUAUAGACGAGUUUGUGACCUCGAUGUUGGACUAGGAAACUAGCAGGCUAGCCGUUUGCUGUGUGAGUUCUGUUCGAACUUUAAUUCCU